ACCGGAAGCCGGGUUACGG
rnacentral:snRNA from 1 species